rnacentral:rRNA from 1 species
CCUACGGGUGGCAGCAGUGGGGAAUAUUGGACAAUGGGCGAAAGCCUGAUCCAGCCAUGCCGCGUGUGUGAAGAAGGCCUUCGGGUUGUAAAGCACUUUCAGUGGGGAAGAAAGCCUUGGGGCUAAUACCCUCGAGGAAGGACAUCACCCACAGAAGAAGCACCGGCUAACUCCGUGCCAGCAGCCGCGGUAAUACGGAGGGUGCGAGCGUUAAUCGGAAUUACUGGGCGUAAAGCGCGCGUAGGCGGUCUGAUAAGCCGGUUGUGAAAGCCCCGGGCUCAACCUGGGAACGGCAUCCGGAACUGUCAGGCUAGAGUGCAGGAGAGGAAGGUAGAAUUCCCGGUGUAGCGGUGAAGUGCGUAGAGAUCGGGAGGAAUACCAGUGGCGAAGGCGGCCUUCUGGACUGACACUGACGCUGAGGUGCGAAAGCGUGGGUAGCAAACAGGAUUAGAUACCCGGGUAGUC